GAGUUUGAUCCUGGCUCAGAUUGAACGCUGGCGGCAUGCCUUACACAUGCAAGUCGAACGGCAGCACGGGAGCAAUCCUGGUGGCGAGUGGCGAACGGGUGAGUAAUACAUCGGAACGUGUCCUGUAGUGGGGGAUAGCCCGGCGAAAGCCGGAUUAAUACCGCAUACGAUCUGCGGAUGAAAGCGGGGGCUCCUUCGGGACCUCGCGCUACAGGGGCGGCCGAUGGCAGAUUAGCUAGUUGGUAGGGUAAAGGCCUACCAAGGCGACGAUCUGUAGCUGGUCUGAGAGGACGACCAGCCACACUGGGACUGAGACACGGCCCAGACUCCUACGGGAGGCAGCAGUGGGGAAUUUUGGACAAUGGGCGAAAGCCUGAUCCAGCAAUGCCGCGUGUGUGAAGAAGGCCUUCGGGUUGUAAAGCACUUUUGUCCGGAAAGAAAACCUUUGGGCUAAUACCCUGAGGGGAUGACGGUACCGGAAGAAUAAGCACCGGCUAACUACGUGCCAGCAGCCGCGGUAAUACG
rnacentral:rRNA from 1 species